rnacentral:misc_RNA from 1 species
UGCCGAUUUCCUAUGCAGCAACGAGGC